CCUACCCAAAGAUGGCUGUGGCCCUGUAUGCUUGGCUCUGCUGGUUGGGGGUACCAUGGAAUUUUUUCUGGACUCUAGGAUAUAUCCACAAGGAUUCCAAGCCAUGUGAAAAUGACCCUGCUUUCUAGAGUAGAAUGUGACCCUGCAACUUCAGAAGCACAAUCAUUUAUUUUUAAAAAUUCUUAUUUAGUCACAUUAGAGAAGUCAACAGGUUGUGAGAAUUAAAUGUCUCUUUCCAAACUAGAGCAUGUUAAAGUUUGAGAAACUGCGUUUUGAUGGUUUCCUUUACACCUUUCCUGUGUAGGGCAUCUCCCCAAACCCUGUGACCCCCUUUCUGUGAGAGGGGUGGAUGUGCUCUGGGAGCUGUUUACGGUCCCCUGGUCUGUGUUCUGUCUGUAUGGUGCACUCACUUCACCCAUACAGGCGGCUCCGGUGGGCAUGUUUUUUACAUGAAGCAAUAGAAGUACAAAAAUGCUUAUUUUUUUCAGAAUCUAAUGUGUUCCAUAAAAUCUGUUGCUUCCCUACAUUCAAAUUCUUUGAUUUUACUUGUUUGUGUUUUGGAAUUUUUUCCCUUAUAUCCCAAGGACUAAAGACUUAGCACAGACGCAUUCUGAGGUUAAGUAAAAUAGUAAGUCACAGUAGGUGGUGUAGCGGUCAUGGUUUUCUGUUAGUAAGGUGUUAAAGAAUGUCUGAGGGUAGUCAUGAAUGUACUGUGUUCGAAUCCUGCUUUAGUUCUCGUGCCCAUGUCUACAAGGUGACAAACACUUGACAGGGAAUAAAGUGUCUGUUGUCCUGAGUGCUGGUGUGCCCUUCCCCUUCAGUCUUGACCCCAAGCGUUCCUUUUCUGUUUAAGUUGAGGAUGGGGCUACCUGCAGCAGUCACCAACCAACCGUGGGAUCUGCUCCGUGGCGAGGGGGGGUUGGCUGUUUGGAUGGUAAGAGUGGAGGGCCUGACUCACCACAGCACAGCCCCGAAGAGCUUUGCUCCGUGCCCAGUUGGCAGGGCCUUGAGUCCCCUGGGGAGGCUCCUGGCUGGCUGUGGAGACCAUGAUCCUGAAGUGUGGGUGUGGGCCCCAACGACCAUCGCUGCCAUGUGGAAAUACCUGCCUCGGUAGAUCCAGCCUUAAUGCUUUUCUGACAUCCUAGUAAGAGCAGACCCUGCACAAAGUGGAUAUCAGAGUUAAUACUGUGAGGAGACAAAAUGCGAAUAGUUUUACCAAAGAUAAUGAAUUGUCGAAUACUGUCUGCAUUUUACUAUUGAUUUGACUGCAUCCUUAGAAAACUGAAUGUAACAAAAACCCAGGACAUUUUUGCAAAUUGUAUGCUGUCUAGCAACUUUGUGUGAAUUUUUAUACAAGCACU
ensembl:lncRNA